AUCUAUGGCCAUACCACCCUGAACGUGCCUGAUCUUGUCUGCUCUUGGAGGCUGAUCAGGGUUGGGCCUGGGCACGCUUGGCUGGGAGAACAUACACGAGCCCUUCUGCAGUAGCUG
rnacentral:rRNA from 1 species